UACGUAGGGUGCGAGCGUUGUCCGGAAUUAUUGGGCGUAAAGAGCUCGUAGGCGGUUUGUCGCGUCGGCCGUGAAAUCUCCACGCUUAACGUGGAGCGUGCGGUCGAUACGGGCAGACUUGAGUUCGGUAGGGGAGACUGGAAUUCCUGGUGUAGCGGUGAAAUGCGCAGAUAUCAGGAGGAACACCGGUGGCGAAGGCGGGUCUCUGGGACGAUACUGACGCUGAGGAGCGAAAGCGUGGGGAGCGAACAGG
rnacentral:rRNA from 1 species